GUAGGUGGCAAGCGUUAUCCGGAAUUAUUGGGCGUAAAGCGCGCGCAGGCGGUUUCUUAAGUCUGAUGUGAAAGCCCACGGCUCAACCGUGGAGGGUCAUUGGAAACUGGGGAACUUGAGUGCAGAAGAGAAAAGCGGAAUUCCACGUGUAGCGGUGAAAUGCGUAGAGAUGUGGAGGAACACCAGUGGCGAAGGCGGCUUUUUGGUCUGUAACUGACGCUGAGGCGCGAAAGCGUGGGGAGCAAACAGGGAUUAGAUACCCUGGUAGUCCACGCCGUAAACGAUGAGUGCUAAGUGUUAGAGGGAUUCCGCCCUUUAGUGCUGCAGCUAACGCAUUAAGCACUCCGCCUGGGAGUACGGUCGCAAGACUG
rnacentral:rRNA from 1 species